GGAGGUCAGCAAGACUGGUACCCCAGCCUGACCGGCAGAGGAACCCCUGACUGACGCAGAAAGGAUGAAGCUCUUGCAGCAGGAGAAUGAAGAGCUUCGCCGGCGCCUGGCCUCCGCCACCAGACGCACUGAGGCCCUGGAACGUGAGCUGGAAAUCGGGCAGGACUGCCUGGAGCUGGAGCUGGGCCAGAGCCGCGAGGAGCUGGACAAAUUUAAGGAUAAGUUUCGCAGGCUGCAGAACAGCUACACAGCUUCCCAGCGGACCAACCAGGAGUUGGAGGACAAGCUGCACACACUGAUCAAGAAGGCUGAGAUGGAUAGGAAGACGCUGGACUGGGAGAUUGUGGAGCUGACCAACAAGCUGCUGGAUGCCAAGAACACCAUCAACAAGCUGGAAGAGCUCAAUGAGCGGUAUCGGCUGGACUGCAACCUGGCUGUACAGCUCCUCAAGUGCAACAAGUCCCACUUCCGAAACCACAA
rnacentral:sRNA from 1 species